CAAGAGUUCACUUAUGUCAUGUAAAAUGGCGGAUUGUAAAAAUUUGGAUAGUGUUGUGGUUACGGACGAAAUUUUGUCCUCAAAAAGGAAUAAAUGUCUGCAAAGCAGAAAAAGAUGAGGAAACGCCAAUUCAAAUUUUAUAGAGAAAGCCGCCAAAUUCACAUCAUCUUGCACAGCCCAUGUUAAGGAAACUUUCAUAUUGGCAAGGCAUAGCUUACACGAAACAAUCUUAACUAUUCACAGCAGAUUUGUGCCUCCUGUUUUUGUGCGGCAAAUGGAUUAUAUUAUUCGGUGAAUUAGGAAAAUUGAGAGGAGAAUUUUUAUACAUAUACCAUAUAUAUUAUUUUGCAAAAAGUUAUCAUUCAAACUGCUGGCAGCCUUUGUAACAAACAGAAUUCACUUUUUGUGAAUCAAACAUGGCAACAGACUCGUGGAAGAAACAUUCUAUGCGAACAAAUGGGUCUCCAGACUAUGGUAUUGGUGACCAUUACCUUUCAAAUGGUGUUCAUGUAAGACACAGGGAAACAGGUGUCAUUGAAAAACUUUGUCAAAGUUAUGGCUUUAUUGAGUGUGCUGAACAGGAUCUUCGAGUGUUCUUUCAUUACAGUCAGUACAAAGGACAUUCAAGUGAACUGGAACUUGGUGACUGUGUGGAGUUUGAAGUGACAUCAGAUUCUCGUAAGGGUAAACCAAUUGCAUGUCGAGUGGUGAAAUUAGAACAAGGCUCUGUUACAUUUGAAGAAAAGAGCGAGGAAAGAGUUGUUGGUAAAGUGGAAGUUGAGGGCAGGUUGUCGAGACACAGCUACCCCAAACAGCAGUUAUUUCGCAAUGGCGAGUCCGAAUGUGGUCGCGUUAGUUAUGAAGUGAACGGAGAAUUGUUUUUUCUUCCAUAUGAUCAAGCUUAUGUUUUAUCAAAGUCUCUUAUCUACAAAGGUGAUACUGUGUCUUUUUACAUCCUGGAAAACAAAAGAAAUGGACAGUGCUGUGCCGUGGAGUUGUUGCUGCUCGAAGCUUUGCCUCCUGUUUACGUUCAAGGAAUUGUCUGCUCGCUCAAGGAAUCUUUUGGUUUCAUCGACAGAGCUGACAAAGUGAACGAGGUAAAGAAGUUGCAGUCUCAGUGGAGCGUCUACCAGAAGGUACAGUGAAGUUUGAUGAUGUUAGCAAAGACACAUUUCAAGGCACCAUCGAGAAAGUACAUUGUCGGACAAAAAGACAGGAACCGUUAAAUGGUGUGAUAUUGUACAACACAAGCGAUGGUAGUUCACAGCUGCCAUAUUGGGAGAAAGAUGUCUUGGGGGAGUUCACCGUCUUGACUUGGGAUGUUGUUGGUUUUAAAAUUGCUACAGAUCGGCGUGAUUCUUUAAGAAGAGCAACGGAAAUUCAUCUCAUCAAGGAAGUGGAAAGCAGCAAUGGAUGCAAUG